rnacentral:rRNA from 1 species
GUGGGGAAUAUUGGGCAAUGGGCGCAAGCCUGACCCAGCAACGCCGCGUGAGGGAAGAAGGCUUUCGGGUUGUAAACCUCUGUCCUUGGUGACGAAACAAAUGACGGUAGCCAAGGAGGAAGCCCCGGCUAACUACGUGCCAGCAGCCGCGGUAAUACGUAGGGGGCGAGCGUUGUCCGGAAUUACUGGGCGUAAAGGGUGCGUAGGUGGCCUUUUAAGUUGGAUGUGAAAUACCCGGGCUUAACUUGGGGGGUGCAUCCAAAACUGGGAGGCUAGAGUGCAGGAGAGGAAAGCGGAAUUCCUAGUGUAGCGGUGAAAUGCGUAGAUAUUAGGAGGAACACCAGUGGCGAAGGCGACUUUCUGGACGAAAACUGACGCUGAGGCGCGAAAGCCAGGGGAGCGAACGGGAUUAGAAACCCCAGUAGUCA